rnacentral:lncRNA from 1 species
GCCAGACAUUGCAUGUCUGCCUCUGGUCUGGUCGUUGGGGUACAACAGCACAUGCUGUCCUUCUGUCCACAGUGGUUGUACCAAUGAGCUUGGGUUGGAGCAGGUGCUUCAUCAGAGGUCAUCACUCCAGCUGCAAUGAAUUACUGAUGCAAAUCUCUUACUCAAGUCUUCAAAAUCAGCAGUUUUCUUGCUCCUAGAAUGUUGAUUCUCUGUUGUUUUACCUCUUCUAUUAGAAUUUCUAAGGCUGUCCACAUCACCCAGUUGCCUCUGAUGCAGAAAGAAUGAUGUGUUGUGCAUGCAGGUGGCCAAUGCAACUUGGAAGUGAAGGGCUGCUCUGAGUGCCGUGGCAGUCAGUAGGAGUGUUUUACAUGCAUACCUUGAAGGAGAAUGUGAUGCCUGAAAGAAGCGGUGACGCAUGGAAACCGCCUACAAUGGCACCAGCUGGAUGGAGGAGCCUGGGAGCACGAAUAUAAGAAAACAGGUUUUUCCAGAAGGGUUGGUGUUGGUGAGGACUUCUGAUUCCAUCUGGUCCAACCCCUGCUGAAGCAAGGACCCACAGAGCAGGUGCUCAGGACCAUGUCCAGAAAAUUUUUGAAGACCUCUAUGGAGGACAGCAUCUCUAAGUAGGGAGGUAAGUUUUUUAGCAAGUCAGGGUAAUUUAAAUGCUGGGCUUCAGCACAAACGAAGGAUUACAGACGUCUAAGUGCUCCUAAUGCACGGUUUUAUUGUGAUCUUAAUGCUAAGAUUUCAAGUCUGAGAGUUGCACGAGGCUACUGCAGUCUGAGAGGAGUGUGUGUGUCUAAGCCGUUUCCAAAGCUUAUCACAAGUUCCCACAGGAAGAGAUAUGAAUGACAUGAAAAUAUUACACUUCAAGCAGAGAGAUUUAGGAGGAAUGCGAAACACACCGAGGAGAUGAGAGCAGAAUAUUCAGUUGUCAAAAUAAUGCUCUGAAGGCAGCAGCCCCGUUAAACCAACGCAGCUGGGCUCCUUGCAUCGAAAUGUCUGUGCUGGAGCUGUGUGUUUGCAUCCAAACAGAAGAAAGCUCUUCCCGUUACUGCUGGUUGUGUUAAUGAUGCAGAAACACUGGGUCUUUUGGAUCUGAUGUUGUUAUGGGCAGGUAGCACCCUGGCAAAGCUGGGAAGGGC